AUCAUCCACCUAUGGGACAUCAUCAGCUGCUGGGGCAUCAUACACUGAUGGGACAUCAUCAACUGCUGGGACAUCAUCAACUGCUGGGGCAUCAUCCACGGCUGGGGCAUCUCCCACAGCUGGGGCAUCAUCUAUGGCUGUUUUGUUCAAUCUGUAUCUGAGCCACAGAUCCAGAUUAUUAAACAAUAAUUUGAGUUCCACUUUUA